GUUUCGGUAGUAUAAUAAAUAAGCACGACAGACCUGGUAUCUGUAAGUGCGGGUUCGAAUCCUGCCUGAAAUU
rnacentral:tRNA from 1 species